rnacentral:lncRNA from 1 species
UUGAAUAAAUGAAUGAUUUUAUUAUGAUUUUAUUUACUGCGUUAUAUAAAUGUUAACAUAAUAAAAAUCCUUAGAGUAUUGAUACAAAUUAUAUAGUUUCAAGUAUGUGACUUGAACAUGAGUUUAUAUAAUUACAAUUAGUAUCAUUGUUCUUAAAUGUCCCUAGUCGAGUAUCAUUGUUGAUGGGACAACAAUGAUGCAUUAAGACUAGUAUGUGGAUUGACUAAUGAC